rnacentral:rRNA from 1 species
UACGUAGGGUGCAAGCGUUGUCCGGAAUUAUUGGGCGUAAAGAGCUCGUAGGCGGUUCGUCGCGUCGGCUGUGAAAUCCCGAGGCUCAACCUCGGGUCUGCAGUCGAUACGGGCGGACUGGAGUUCGGCAGGGGAGACUGGAAUUCCUGGUGUAGCGGUGGAAUGCGCAGAUAUCAGGAGGAACACCGAUGGCGAAGGCAGAUCUCUGGGCCGUAACUGACGCUGAGGAGCGAAAGCAUGGGGAGCGAACAGG